AAUCCCGACACGGGGAGGUAGUGACAAUAAAUAACAAUAUAGGGCUCUUUCGGGUCUUAUAAUUGGAAUGAGUACAAUUUAAAUCCCUUAACGAGGAACAAUUGGAGGGCAAGUCUGGUGCCAGCAGCCGCGGUAAUUCCAGCUCCAAUAGCGUAUAUUAAAGUUGUUGCAGUUAAAAAGCUCGUAGUUGAACUUCAGGCCUGGCUGGGCGGUCCGCCUAACGGUGUGUACUGUUUGGCUGGGUCUUACUUCUUGGUGAGCCGGUGUGCCCUUUAUUGGCGUGCAUCGGGGAACCAGGACUUUUACCUUGAGAAAAUUAGAGUGUUCAAAGCAGGCUAUUGCCUGAAUACAUUAGCAUGGAAUAAUAAAAUAGGACGUGCGGUUCUAUUUUGUUGGUUUCUAGAGUCGCCGUAAUGAUUAAUAGGGAUAGUUGGGGGCAUUGGUAUUGAGUCGCUAGAGGUGAAAUUCUUGGAUUGACUCAAGACCGACUACUGCGAAAGCAUUUGCCAAGGAUGUUUUCAUUAAUCAAGAACGAAGGUUAGGGGAUCGAAAACGAUCAGAUACCGUUGUAGUCUUAACAGUAAACUAUGCCGACUAGGGAUCGGGCAACCUCAAUAUUGAUGUGUUGCUCGGCACCU
rnacentral:rRNA from 1 species